rnacentral:lncRNA from 1 species
UUAUUUUCUUUAUUUGUGAAGUAUCUUAACUUUUUAGUAGGAAAUGAAUGUGGAUGCAUUCAUGGAUCAGCCCAAGAGAUCCUACAACUAUAAAUAGGAUGCCUAGCCAUUUGUAAAAACCAUACUGAAUUGAAUGAAAUUUUUAGUUCUCUUCUCAAUUGUUCUGCAAGUUUGAGAGUUCUUUACGAUUGCCUACUCCUCUUAUUCUGCUACUCCACUGUUUAGGUAGAUGUUCUUCCUCAAGGAAAGAUCACCAUGUGCACUAUUUUUGGUACUAGAGUGAUUCAGGUUCGUCUAUGGUGUUUUACAUCGGCAUUGAAGUCAUGGUUCUCAUUGAAGCAGCCGCAACAUCCCAGUGCCAAAGACUAAUCCAAAAGACAUAAAGAUCCAACGGUUAUGAGAACAAAUAGUGCAAUUAGAGGUGGGGUGUGAUCAUGCAAUUGGUCAUGAUUGCUGCCCUAUACGAUCGGAAUGGAAGGAUGUACUAUCAAAUAGAACUUCCAAGCACCUCGUCAACCCUUUCUACCACUAUGUUCUAAAUCAAGGGCUGGUUUGCCUUCCUCUACUUGAUGAGUUUGGCAAGACAAUCCAUGUUUACUGAGUUUUACGAGAAGCUAAAUCCAAAAGACGUCCCCGACUAGAUCACCAACGUUGAGAGGCCUAUGAAAGGCCCUGAAAUUAUGAGGCUAUGCAUCUAUCUAGUAAGAGAUUAUCCAGCACUCUAGAGCGAGUAUUGGAAAAAUGAAGAUCACUUAUUGCCCAAAGAUGAAGAACAUCUAUGCUGCCACUUCCUUCAAGUGGAUCUCUUUCGCUCUAUUAAUAUGAAUCUUAGACAACAUGAAAGGAGCAUCACCGACUACAUGGACGAGUUUUUCAAAAUCUCCACUAUAGCUUGCUCGUAUAAGGCAAAGGAAUUUGUGUAGCCCAUUAUCUCAAUGGCUAUCAUGUUUCGAUCAAUGAUGAGAUUGAUGAAUGAUGCCUAUCACAAGGCAUUACAUGCUGAAAGGAAAUUGAGGGCUCAAACCCUUUCUUGUCUCUCCGUACAAAAAAGGGUCAUGAGAUAAUUAUCUCCAAAUAUUGUAUUAUUAUUUCUCAAUUGGUAAUACUUGCAUUGACAGCAUGUGAUGUCAUGUAACACCUAUAGAUGUUUGUCACAUAUUAUUAGGUCAUCCUUGGCAAUAUGAUCAAGAGACCAUGCAUAAUGAAAGGAGCAACACUUAUACCUUUAACAAAGAUAGAGUAAAGAUUAUUCUCAGACCCAGAAGAACAGAACAACUUCCAAGAGAAGAAAGACAUAUCAUUAUUCAGUACCAAGGGCUUCCUUAAAGAUGACAAGAAUUCAAGCUUUCACCUGAAGGACAAAUUCUCUCCAGCCUGGGAGUAUGAUGCAUAUCGUUUUGUAGAGUUAAUUCAGAUUAUGAAAAUAAAUCUUGGAAAUAUGAUCAAAGAAGGCUGAUAUCAUCAAAUGUAGGCAGAUUUAAAAAAUCAAGAUAAAUUAAAGACCCUAUCCAAUUAUGAGGCGAUUAUUUUGCAAUCACUUUCCAUAUUUAUAGUAAAUCACAUCUUAGCAGAUUAUAUGGAAGAUUCUCUUCUACAAUUAUUUUCUUUAUUUCUAAAAUCUCUUAGCUUUUCAGCAAGAAAUGAAUGCUACAUUCACAGGUAGAUUCAAGGGAUCCACCGACUAUAGAUAGAGAUGCUAGCCAUCAUAAAAAGAGCAUCUUCAAUUGAAUGAAAUUUCCAAUUUUCUUCUUCAAUGUUGUAUGAGUAUUACAGUCCUUUAUUGUUGCUUCUUCCUCCUAUCUUGCUGUUCCAUUAUUAGGUAGAUCUUCUUCCUCUAGAAGAACGAUCACCAUGUGCACUAGAUAGCCAACCCUCCAUAGCCUGAUGCAAGCCAGUAUAUGAUGGUCACUGGAUAGCUUUUAAGCCAUAUCAAACAUGAAGGCAAGAAUUUAAGGUCAGCCAUAAACCCCCUCUCUUCCCCUUCUUUUUCUACAUAUAACUCCAUCAGUUUACUUAGUUCUAUCCUAUUAGGAAGCACCUAAUUUAAGUAAUAGAGGAAGCUAGACAAGAAAAGCUCUUCAAUCUCUCAAGUUGAGCUAUAUUAUUCUUUGGUCUUUGUCAUUCUAUUUACACUCUUUCACUGUUUUGAUCUUCUUUUAAUCUUCUACAUAACAUGAUUCAACUGUUUGUUGGAAUGCCUCCUACAUAUGUUCAUGGCUUUUCUGUAGUCAGAUCCCAAUUUUCUAAUCCUCUUUUGGUCCCUGGUAUUAGUUAAGCAUCAUGAUACAUCAUGAAAACAUAAAGUUGUAUCAAAUAUGAAGUCAGGAAUCAUUAAUACUGAAAUCAAUGGGUGAAAACCAGAAAAACUAUAGACAUGUGCAGCACCCAGUUAGCAUGAACUAUAUCUAUAUCUACCUUUUCUGUAUGCAGGAUAUCUAUAGCUUCAACAAUUACUAUUGUUCACGAUUAUCAAUGCCAUUAUUUGUAAUAAGCUAUUAGAAUAUGCACAAACACAAGCAAAAAUCUAAAUUCCAAUCAAUUUGGAAUCAAUUUCUUAGAAUAGGUUUCAUGUUAUGAAUGUGGCUAAGACCUAUGCCAAAUAUGACAUCAAGCUUCCUAAAUGAAAAAUUCCUAACUGGAUCUGUUGGAUGGGAGGGCUACUUAACAUAAAUUAUGUGUGAUCCUGCUAUUGAAUUUCAUAAAUUCCAAUAAAUACAGAUGAUGCAACCAGCCGCUAGGUAAGACAGAGAGCCUGGUUGAGCCUAUUAUGGACCCUAAAUUGGCUGGAAGUUACAGAUAGCAGCCUUCUAUUUGCUUUUUACAGAAAACAAUCCUCUUAAGGCAAUAUUUUCAUUUGUAGAUACUUUUGUUUAAGGGAAACCAGAAGAUAUAGCUAAGCACAUACAGACUGGUUUAGUUCAUAUGAUAUGGCAUUUAUCAUGUUUAGGAUAAUAAUUAUUACAAGUAUUUAUUCUUUAAAAAAUUGUUACCUAAGAUUGAUUUAAUUGGGUCCUUCUUAAUCUUAUAAACUUGGGGAAUGAUCCUAUGUACUAAAAAAAAAAUUGGACUUGAAUUCUUUUAUGAGAAAAAAAAGAAAGAGAGAGUUCAGUCUCAUUUCUAUUCCCAUUCUCUACUACUAAAUUCUUUCCACUCAUUUUCAUUUCAGCCUCGGCUACUUCUUCCCUGUAUUCAUCUGCAAUAGAUCUAGGCCAAUAUCUGAUCAUAUCUGAUCCAUUGCAUUACAGAGACCAGCCAAAGAAACCCAAUAUCCCCUUUCUUAAUCCCUAUUUAGGUACAAUCUUUAUAAUAUUAAAUCCUCACCCUAGUUUUUCAUCAUCACUUCAUUGAAUUCAUUUCCGUGCUUUACUUGACAUCUGAAUACGGGAUUUAACCACAAAGCCCUGGAUGUUGUCUUUUUAACCUUUCCACUCUUCAGUCAACAACCAUGAUAGAUCAUACCAAUUAUUGUUCUUGACCAUCAGGAACAUAAAGUUCAUCAAUAUACCUAGAUGUUUUCACUUUAUUCUUGGUUAUGUUCCAUUGUGAAAACAGAAAGCUUAACAGUGCUUCUACCAUGAAGUUUUGCAAGAGUUUUAGUUUCCUUUGUAAUAUUCAUAUGUCUAAUCUUAAGGGGUCACAUUAGGUGAUAUGGUUAUAGUUUGAACAUCAUGUUAGCAAUACUUUACUAUAUAAUUAAGACUGAUACCAAGAAAAGGGUUGUACUAACAGAAAAGUUGCACUUCUUCCUCUUUAUAGCCUACCACACAGCAGUAGCAGUACUUUAAAUAUCACCAAUGUUACAUUAGCAAUAAACAUAGCCAAACUUGCACAUAUGUUUUGAAACGGUCCAUCUAAAUUGAAAGACACCAAGAAAUUAGUUGCAUUUUAAAAAAACUAUAAAUGUAUAAUAUGUUUAGCGAAUCAGGUAUCAUUUAUCAAAAAUGUGACCAUUCUCACAGAUAUCAUUUGUCAUGCCCUGAAAAUAUCUUUGGUAUCAUGCCACAGAACAGCUAAUAAUAAUUUGAUUACCAUCAACAAUGCAUAUACAAUAUUUUGCUACUGCAAGUAACAGAAGUUUAAAGUUAAAUAGCUCAUAAUAACAAAUCUCAUGGCAACCUCCACAUAAAGCAAUAUUGCAUUCCGUCCAGUGAAUGUGUUAUCCAGUCGUCCAAAGCCAAAAAUGAUGAUAAUUUAGGAUCCUCUCCAAGAAAUCAUUUUUAUAACAAAGCACAAGUUAUGGCUAAAUCCAUCCUCCUGAAUUCAAUUUAUAUUUUUCUUCUUAAAUGCCAACUUAAAUAUUACAAUAAUUUACAAUCCUUCUAUAGUAGAACAUUUUCAGCACUGACACCAUAUCCCAUUUUCUUGAAUUCUGUUUUUCGUAAAAAUAAUAUUUUUCUUGAAUUCAAAAGUAAUAUUUGGAUAUGGUAUUCUUUCUCCUAACCAUCCCCUACCCGCCUAAACCAAGAAAUAAAAGAAAAGAAUUCAUACAAUCAGGAAAUGCAGUUCCUCAUAAGAUGGAAGUUCACGACGCAAAAAAGCUGAAAAGCAUUUUUCUCUUGGACAUGGUAUGAGAAAAUCACAACAUUCUGUGAAAAGCGGAACAUAUUUUACGUUAAUUCUCCAAUUUUUUCUCAACAUCACCAAUUAACUUUCCGCAAAACAUGAUUAAAGAAGGGAUAAAGUUCCACAAAAAAAAAAAAAAAAGAAUCGAGAAUCCCAUCAUACUUACAAAACUACAGCAAAAUUACUCCGAGAAAAUCGAGCAAAUAAGCUUGACUGAGUAUACAACAAUGAAGAAAAUCCACGAUGUUUUGAAGAACGAAUAGCGAAGGAGAAUACCUAAAUCAGAGCGGGGAAAUAAUCCGGGCCUGAGAAAAGAUCAAAACGCGUCGUUAAUCGGUGAUCCAAGAACAGGAGAAGAGGGUUUGAGAGGAAGAGUGACGGCGAGCGGAUCGGAACCCGAAGAACCCCAGCCACUUGAGGCGGGGCUUUAAGCAUGGAGUUUGUGCAUACGGACGGCCCAGAUUGAGUGAGAUCGGAGGCUAACAUCAUCUGAUGGAGUCGGUUUGAUGGUCGGUACGCCAUUAGGUCAUGGAGUCGG